rnacentral:rRNA from 1 species
CUACGGGGGGCACCAGUGGGGAAUAUUGGACAAUGGGGGAAACCCUGAUCCAGCAAUGCCGCGUGUGUGAAGAAGGCCUGCGGGUUGUAAAGCACUUUCGGUUGGGAGGACUGCUUCUAGCACUAAUAUUGUUGGAAGUUGACGUUACCUUCAGAAGAAGCACCGGCUAACUCCGUGGCCAGCAGCCGCGGUAAUAGCGGAGGGUGCAAGCGUAAUCGGAAUUACUGGGCGUAAAGCGCGCGUAGGCGGCUAGAUCAGUCGGGUGUGAAAGCCCCGGGCUUAACCUGGGAACUGCAUCCGAUACUGUCUAGCUUGAGUACAGGAGAGGAGAGUGGAAUUCCACAUGUAGCGGUGAAAUGCGUAGAUAUGUGGAGGAACACCAAUGGCGAAGGCAGCUCUCUGGCCUGAUACUGACGCUGAGGUGCGAAAGCGUGGGGAGCAAACAGGAUUAGAUACCCUAGUAGUC